GACGAACGCUGGCGGCGUGCUUAACACAUGCAAGUCGAACGGAAAGGCCCUGCUUUUGUUGCUUGCUCGAGUGGCGAACGGGUGAGUAACACGUGAGUAACCUGCCCUUGACUUUUGGAUAACGUCAGGAGACUGGGGCUAAUACCGGGUAUGAUCUCCUGCUGCAUGGUGUGGGUUGGAAAGUUUCGGCGUUGGGGGAUGGACUCGCUGGUUAUCAGCUUGUUGGGGGGGUAGUUGCUUACAAAGGCUUUGAGGGGUAGCCGGCCUGAGAGGGUGACCGGCCACAUUGGGCCUAAGAUACGGCCCAGUAUCCAAUGGGAGGAAGAGGUGGGGAAUAUUGCACAAUGGGCGGAAGCCUGAUGCAGAAACGCCGCGUGCGGAAUACCGGCCUUCGGGUUGUAAACCGCUUUCGCAUGUGCCGAAGCGUGAGUGACGGUACUGGGUAAAGAAGCACCGGCUAACUACGUG
rnacentral:rRNA from 1 species